GCUGGGUGUGGUGGCACAUGCCUGUAAUCCCAGCUACUUAGGAGGCUGAGGCAGGCGAAUUGCUUGAACCCAGGAGGCGGAGGUCGCAGUGAGCUGACAUCGUGCCACUGCACUCCUGCCUGAGUGAUAGAGCAAGACUCUGUCUCAA
rnacentral:SRP_RNA from 1 species